GACGAACGCUGGCGGCGUGCCUAAUACAUGCAAGUCGAACGCAGCGGGGACGGGUGAGUAACACGUGGGUAACCUCCCAUCAGAGGGGAUAACACUUGGAAACAGGUGCUAAACCGAUACUGAUGGAUGGACCCGCGGUGCAUUAGCUAGUUGGUGAGGUAACGGCUCACCAAGGCCACGAUGCAUAGCCGCCCUGAUAGGGUGAUCGGCCACACUGUGACUGAGCCACGGCCCAGAUCCCUACGAGCGGCAGCGGUAGUGAAUCUUCGGCGAUUGACGAAAGUUUAACCGUGCAACGCCGCGUGAGUGAGGAAGGUUUUCUGAUCGUAAAACUCUGUGUUUAGAGAAGCGAUGUCUAACCAGAGGGCCCCGGCUAGCUACGUGCCAGCAGCCGCGGUAAUUC
rnacentral:rRNA from 1 species